UCGAUUUGGAGUUUGUUGCCCUGAGUGAUGGGCUCCGAAGCUAACGCGAUAAAUCGACCGCCUGGGGAGUACGGCCGCAAGGUUAAAACUCAAAUGAAUUGACGGGGGCCCGCACAAGCGGUGGAGCAUGUGGUUUAAUUCGAUGCAACGCGAAGAACCUUACCUGGUCUUGACAUCCACAGAAUCUUGCAGAGAUGCGAGAGUGCCUUCGGGAACUGUGAGACAGGUGCUGCAUGGCUGUCGUCAGCUCGUGUUGUGAAAUGUUGGGUUAAGUCCCGCAACGAGCGCAACCCUUAUCCUUUGUUGCCAUUGGUUCGGCCGGGAACUCAAAGGAGACUGCCGUUGAUAAAGCGGAGGAGGGUGGGGACGACGUCAAGUCAUCAUGGCCCUUACGACCAGGGCUACACACGUGCUACAAUGGCGUAUACAAAGGGAGGCGACCUCGCGAGAGCAAGCGGACCUCAUAAAGUACGUCUAAGUCCGGAUUGGAGUCUGCAACUCGACUCCAUGAAGUCGGAAUCGCUAGUAAUCGUGAAUCANAAUGUCACGGUGAAUACGUUCCCGGGCCU
rnacentral:rRNA from 1 species